CCUACGGGCGGCAGCAGUGAGGAAUAUUGGUCAAUGGUCGGGAGACUGAACCAGCCAAGCCGCGUGAGGGAGGAAGGUACAAAGUAUCGUAAACCUCUUUUGUCAGGGGACAAAGACUGGGACGCGUCCCCGGAUGAGUGUACCUGACGAAAAAGCAUCGGCUAACUCCGUGCCAGCAGCCGCGGUAAUACGGAGGAUGCGAGCGUUAUCCGGAUUUAUUGGGGUUAAAGGGUGCGCAGGCGGGCUGUGAAGUCAGCGGUCAAAGCCCGGGGCUCAACCCCGGCCCGCCGUUGAAACUGGCAGUCUCGAGUUGGAGAGAAGUAUGCGGAAUGCGCGGUGGAGCGGUGAAAUGCAUAGAUAUCGCGAAGAACUCCGAUUGCGAAGGCAGCAUGCCGGCUCCACACUGACGCUGAGGCACGAAAGCGUGGGUAUCGAACAGGAUUAGAUACCCCAGUAGUC
rnacentral:rRNA from 1 species